rnacentral:lncRNA from 1 species
GGCUGCAGUGCAGUGGUGUGAUCUCAGCUCACUGCAACCCCUGCCUCCCAGGUUCUAGUGAGUCUCCUGCCUCAGCCUCCCGAGCAGCUGGGACUACAGCCGCUUUCACAGGAGCGAUAAAUUGGAAAUGUUAUCUGGCUUGAUAUGCCAGUUUUUCUGAGAAAAUCACUCUGCCAGUGGUGACAGAAUGGAAGAGCUGAAAACAUCUUCUUUUUUCAAAGUCAUAUGUCACGAACCAAGGAGACUCCAAAAAAUAAAUUAUGGAAGAUUAUGACCACUGCUGCCAAGGAUACAGUGAAAUAGAGUUUGUGGCAUCUGGUUUUAACUCCAAUAUGUAAAGAGCUUGGAAGCCAUCUUUCCUUCCACCACAACAAGAAAACAGCUGAACUGAAAAUCAAUGACUUUUCUUAGAUCCAUUAAAGAAUUGAGAUUGCAGGACACACUACCACCCUGAAAACUGGAGAGAGGAAAAAUACAGAGAGGAAGCAGAUCAGCUUACCUGAAGCAGAGGCCGCUGGAAUCUGUGACAGGCUGCAUUUGUAACCAAGCCGUGGUCCUUUUCAUUGCAUCUUGCCAGAAUGAAGAAGAGCUGAUCUCUCCAGUUCCUGUUAUUCCCCUUACAUUGCCCACAUUUAUUGCUCAAUAAACCACAGAAAUCCUUCU